rnacentral:rRNA from 1 species
GACAGAGGUCCCGAGCGUUAGGCGGAAUCACUGGGCUUAAAGCGUGUGUAGGCGGAUGCCUAAGUACCUUGUGAAAUCCCACGGCUCACCCGUGGAACUGCUUGGUAUACUGGGUGUCUUGAGCCACUUAGGGGCUACCGGAACAGAUGGUGGAGCGGUGAAAUGCGUAGAUAUCAUUUGGAACGCCAAUGGUGAAAACAGGUAGCUGGGAGUGUGCUGACGCUGAGACACGAAAGCCAGGGGAGCAAACGGG